CCGUGCUAGGUGGGGAGCUAGCGGUGCCCUGUACCCGCAACCCGCUCUAGCGGGGCCGAUGCCCGCCCGCGGCUCGGAUGGUCUGGGAACGCCCCGGGUUCGGCAGUGAUGAAGGCCGGGUCCCGCGCGACACCAACCUGCGAACCCCGUCAGGUCCGGAAGGAAGCAGCGGUAAGCGGGCACUGGUGGGUGCCGCGGGAGCACCUGACCGGAGCUGCCGGCUCGGUGGUCGCCGGGCCGUCUCGUGGUCAACGGCGGGUGCACGG
rnacentral:SRP_RNA from 1 species